UACGAAGGGGGCUAGCGUUGCUCGGAAUGACUGGGCGUAAAGAGCUCGUAGGCGGUUUGUCGCGUCUGCUGUGAAAACCCGAGGCUCAACCUCGGGCCUGCAGUGGGUACGGGCAGACUAGAGUGCGGUAGGGGAGAUUGGAAUUCCUGGUGUAGCGGUGGAAUGCGCAGAUAUCAGGAGGAACACCAAUGGCGAAGGCAGAUCUCUGGGCCGUAACUGACGCUGAGGAGCGAAAGCAUGGGGAGCGAACAGG
rnacentral:rRNA from 1 species